rnacentral:rRNA from 1 species
AACGGCCGUACCAUGCUGAAUAUACCGGUUCUCGUUAGAUCACCGAAGUUAAGCAUCAUUGGGCGCGGUCAGUACUUGGGUGGGUGACCCCCUGGGAACACUGCGUGCCGUU